rnacentral:lncRNA from 1 species
UUUGUCUUCCACUGGAAUAGCUGAGGUACAUGUAUCCUUGACACUUGCAACUGAAAUGCUUUGCUUCUCCUUUAUUAUUUGUUCAGCAUCCAAGGUAGCACACAUAUUUCUGCCAUUUAUUAUAACAGAACCAGAUUCAUCAGUGUUCCUCAGUUGGCCAGAAUCAUGUUUUGCUGGAUAGUUAAAUUUUUCAAAGAGUUUGGCCUCAGGAUCAUCUUACCUUGCUUUUGAGGUAGAAGAUUGAGGCAUAUUCUUUUGAGAAGUGUCUUUAUCUUGGGAAGCAGUACUGGCAACAGGAAAGGUUGUGCCCUCUUGGUCUUCCUUCACUGGAGAUUUUGGACCUGAGCCACACAGUGCAUAUUGAGGUACAUUUGCAAAUACUGUCUGCAUAAAUUUCCUCGCAUAAUAAUUCAGAACAAGAAAAAAGUCACCUUUUACAGUGAAAUGCAUACAAAUCUACAAAUUGCUUAACCUUGAAAUGAUAUGGUGGGCUAAAUAUAGGAAUGAGAUAAAAAAAGUUUCACAAAAUACAGUAAAAGAUCAUAACCUAAGUGACUCUUUGUCAGAGUAAAACAAGGAUUUAGUUGUUAAAACAGAAAAACUUAAAACUGUGUAUUUAACUUCUAAUGUACAAUAGUUUCUACAUAGUAAAGAGAAACGUGACCAUAUAUUGGUAUACGACAAUGAACUUUUAGUUAAUGUCAUCACACUACAGCUGUACACGGAUGCCAACCUUUAUUUUAAGGUCAUCUAGUAUGACUUUCAAUCAUAAUCUUCCACAACCUUGAGUAAGGGUUUGAAAUUCAACUAAUGCACUAGAAAGAGAUAAUUUAUCUUAUUUUUUAUUUCUCCACAUUGCUAGACUUUCUCUAAAAGAUAUACACUACCAAGAGGUAGAUUUUUGUCAGCAUCAAAACAAGUACAUCAAGAACAUAUUUUUUGUGGGAGAUGAAAAUUCUUCAGGGGAACUUAGUGUAUUAAUUGUUUAUGUAGAUGAUAUAGUUGUAACUUGAAAUGAUUAGACAGCAGGAAUGGAAGUCUUAAAAUGUUUGACAAUAAAAUUUUUAAAUUAAAGAGUUAGGCAUAAUGAAAUAUUUCUUGGGUAUUGAAAUGGCUCAUUCCCAUCAUGGUAUUUUCAACUCCCAACAAAAAUGUGCUAGAAUUAUUGGAUGAAACUGGUAAAUUAGGAUGCAAACCAGUAGAGACACAUAUUGCACAAAAUCACGAACUUAGUGUAUCAAUUGAAGAUGUAGCUGUGGAUACACAAUCUUAUCAAAGGCCAGUUGGAAAAUUGAUUGUCUUACCCAAAGCCCAACAUUACCUAUGAUAUAUUGGUUGUAAGUCUGUUCAUGCAAUUCAAAGGAGAUUCAGCUCAGAGUUGUAUAACAUUUUCCAGUACUUGGAACUGGAAAAGGAAUUCUAUUUAUAAAGGGAAAUGAGAUGAUCUUGGAAGCCUACACAGAUGUUGAUUAUGCAGGUUCUAUAGAAGACAAAAAGAUCUACAUCCUGAUAUUGCACUUCUCUUGGAGGAAAUUUGGUUAUUUGGGAGAGCAAGAAACAAAAUAUUGAGACAAGAUCAAGUGUACAGACAAAGUUUAGAGCAAUGGACUUUUGGAUUUGUGAGAUACUAUGGUUAAAGAUAAUUUUAGAAGACUUGAAAAUUAAUGAGAAGAAGCCUAUGAGACUGUAUUGCAAUAACAAGUUGGCAAUAAAUAUUGUGCUUAAUCCAAUAUAAUAUGAUAGAACUAAACAUGUUGAAAUAGAAAACAUUUCAUAAAGGAAAAGUUGGAUAAUGGGACAAUUUGUACACCAUUUGUAUUCUCUGAAAAUCAACUUACAGAUGAUGCACUGACAAAAGGACUAAGCGGUGCCACACUACGGUCUAUUUGUUAACAAGUUGGUGCCACACUACAGUCUAUUUGUUAACAAGUUGGUAAUAGAUGUGUUAGAGAUAUUAUAUUUAGUUUAUAUUUAUCUCAUAUCUUUAGUGUGUUUGUUUAUAUUUCUUAUUUGUAAUUUGAACUUAACCCAUAUUUCUUGUUAGAAGUGGGUUUUAGGCCUAACUCAACCUUACAAAACCGGUUUGUAAAGUGAGGUCUGCACUCCACUUAUAUAUUAUAAAUUGGUCUUAUCUCUAGUCGAUGUGGGAUUUCCAACACACUCCCCUCACGCCGAGGUAUAUAUACAUCUCGAACGUGAGACUAGAUAUUAAUGGGUGGUCCGAUAACGGUCCGAUAGCGGGUGGAACAAUAUGCCCAAAAAAUAUCACUAGGAUAGACUCUAAUCAUAGCUCUGAUACCAAAGAUAUACUAUAACUUAACCACGUAUAUAUUUCAUAGGAUGAUAUCCACUCACCAACUUGAGGUGGAGUGCCAGAAUCCCUCGAAAUAUGUUGGAGAUAAUAUUUGUUCAAAUUUAAUUACAUUCCAUGAUAGGAAUUUAAUUGCAUUCCAUAAUAAAGAGGAUAGGUUGACCAUAUAUAGCUUACAUUUGUUGUACAGGAUAGCCUAAAUUAUAGGGAUAUAUUGUCUAUAGUAAAUUACGGGUUUCCUUAAUUAAGUUUUAAGCAUUCUAUUUAAGGGCUAUUUCUCCUCUUUUGUGAAUAUUAGCAGUAACAAUAUUUUUGACAAAAUUGUAUGAUGUAGGGACCCCAUAUUAUCAAAGUCCCUCUCACUACCCCAUUUCUAUUUAAAAGUACCACUCAUAACUGUUGUAACAACCAUAAACGCUCUUCCUUUAAUUACCUAAUCUCUCUAUCUCUAGAAUAUACUGCUAAGGUCCAUUUGGUUGAGUAGAAAAGUAAAGUGGGUAAAAAUUCUUGAAAAGAGAUUGAAUUUUAUUAUCAUCAUUCAUUUCUAUUACAUUCUCCUUAUACUUGUUUGUAACAAUCUAAUUUUCCAGAAAGGAAAAAAAAAACAAUAUACUAAAAAAUAAACUAGAAGAUUCUACAAAAAAUUUUCUGAUUAGGAAAAUUUUUCAGAUAUUUUCUGAUUAGGAAAAUUUUCUCUGAUUGGGAAGAUUUUUCUCUACUUAAAACAAAAAUAAAAUAAGCGGAUGGAAAUAAGAAAGAAAUAAAGGGAAAAGUAAAGAUAUUUGGUUGAAGGGAAAUAGAAAAGAAAUAAUGAGAUAAAUUGAUAUAUUAAUAGAAAUAUAUGAGAAAUAAAGGGAAAAAGCUCCAGUGAAACACACUAACUUUCUAAUUCUCAUUCCAUUUUCUGUUAUACCAAACAAACCUAAUUUUAUCCAUCCCACCUAUUUCCAGUACCUCCCCUACAGCCAAACCAGCCCUUAAUUUUGGAACCACUUGCUACCUAACUCAUGCAGAAAAGUAUCUUCAUUGGUCAUGAUCGUCCGUAAGAGAAACAAAGGUUCUCCAAACAGGUACAUAGAUACUGGCGUAGUGUGUAUUUUCUUGUAAAGCUACAAGAGUUAUAUCCUUCUUUACCAAGAGCAAUGGAAGUUUAGGCCUAAAAUUUAUUGUGUACAUAAACAAAGAUAAUACAACCAGAUUUUUUUGGGUUAGUCAGUAUGUAUUCUUUGUUGAGAUAAACUUAAAUUUGGGGUUUAUUUGUAUUUUCGUUUCAGUCUUUAUUUUAUUUGGUCUGUGGUCAGUUUUUAUUUAGAUAGUUGAUCCAGUAUUAUUCCAUUCAGUAGAUAUACCCAGUCAGUCUUUAGUUUUAUUUUCAGUUUUAUUUAGUUGCAAUGGUUAUCUUUUGUAAACGGCCCAAGACCCACCUGCACAGCUAUUUAAAAGUCAUUGCAGUUUAAUGGAAAGCACCACAGAAAAUUAACAGUGCUUCUAUUUUUUUUGUGUCAACAAUCUCGACCUGAUUAAGAGAUUUGAAGUUGUCUAUAGCUGUCAACAGAAUCAGCACAGAAGUACGAUUUUAUUUAUUAACUCAUAAAUAUGAUGCUAGCAAACAUGAUAAGCCAAACAAGUUCAGCAAGACCAUUCUAUUGAAGAAUGUUAGGAUAACUAGAUCAGUACUGAAUUCCUAUUAAAGUAAUCGCUGUAGGCAACUAUUAAAGUAUUUUCUUUUAUUUGUCAAAAGGUAUGAAAUAAAUUUUAAAAUAAAUUUGACACAUUACAAUUAUCAAACAUAAAAUAAAUACAACACUUGCAUAACAUCAACCUGAUUUACAUACUAUUGACUGGUAGAUAUCUAUUCAAAAUAACACACAUACAUAUAUAUAUAUAUAUAUAUAUAUAUAUAUAUAUAUAUAUAUAUAUAUAUAUAAACUAAAAAAAAAAAGUAAAGACAGAAAAACACGGCAAACCUGCAGCAUCUAUUGUAUUAUUUAGGCAAUGAGCAAAACCAAUGUGUUUGGAAUACUGUCCGACAGAGUUCCAAGUCAGUCCACUGGCUAAUUCUGACAAGCCGCUUUGCUCAAGUUUAUCAGGGGAACCGUCCGGGGAUAGGGUGGCAUCAACUAUUUCAGGAAUUACUUUCGGAAUGUCAUUUAACAAACGUGAUUGCUCGAACUGUGUCUCAAGCUUCAGCUUUUCAUCUAAGUACUCAGAAAGUGUACGGAAAAUGGUCAAGGAUCAAAGUAUUCAUAGAAAAGAUCAAACUCCAAAACACAGAAUAAGCCAACAUUUAUCAAAAAUCAAAGAAGUAACAACAGCUUUCAGCUUAGUUUAGAACUCCUCUCUCACUUUAAAUCGAUUAUGAGAUAGAUAUGCUUGAUCAAGCAUUAAAACGGAAAACAACUGAAAAUACUUUGACCAUUAACCACAAAUUUGAGGCAACAAUAGAAAAAGUAAAUCAUGAAAGGAUAUUCUCUCCUCCAUCCCUUUUCAUUUGCCCGAUCAAUCAGGUUUUGUAAUAAUACUAACUUCCUUGGGAUCCACUGUCACAUAAAGCAAAUAUAAAGACAAAUAUCAGUAAAAAUAUAUUAUACGCGUGGUGAUCUUUAAUAGUCUAAAGGAAUCAAGUAUUCAAUAAUGUUAACAUGCAAUUAGACGUACCAAACAUAAAGGAUUGAAGUAAUAAUUUAAGGGCAGAUUUUAAAUUUAGUUUGCAUUAUAUGUUUACUGUCUGCUGGCAUGUGCUUCAGCGAGUUUCAUAAUUACCAGAUACUAUCAAUUCUAAUCACUGAAUUUUGGAAAAUAGUAAUUAAUAAGUUAGCCUUUGCUUCUGUUGAAUUUUAUGAUGUAUACCGUCUUUAACUGCUAAGCUACAAGAAAAUCGUAUUCUGAAUUGCAUUUAUCUUUAUAAUCCCAAAUUCAUAAGUACAUACAUACAUGCUUUAUUAUAUCUUCAUGUAGACUUCUAGCUUUCUGCUCAAGAUCCAGCUGUCAACAUAAGGAGGUGGUUGUCAUCUGUUGGUUACAUGAUUGUACUAUGACUAACCAACAAAUUAUAUCAUUCUGCAAAUCAAACUAUAGCACAUAAAACACAUAAAGACCAUUUAAUCAGUAUAGUCCAGACUUACUAAAAUAUAUCUUUAACGGCCUUAGACUUGAAUGGAAGACACAGACAGAUAUGCUGUUGUAAAUCAACACAUAGAUACACGGUCUCUUUACCGAAAAUUAUUGUUUUAUCACUGAUGAACAUGAAAUAGAGAUGACAAAGAUUAAAAAGAUUAGAAAAUUUAAGUCUAAUUUUGUUGAAGUUGAUGAUUCUAUUAUCAAAAUUGAUGAGUGAUGUUUUGGCAUGAAAGACCGGGGUCCUGUCAACUUAAAGAAGUCGUUAAAUUUCAUGCAAGAUAAUUUGGGAUGACAAAUCUUGGAAGUUAAACAAAAUGACUACGAUGACAAUGAUUUAAGCCAAGAAAUUAAAGGAAAACUUUUUGGUAUAAUGACUGCACUCCCGGUUCCUGGAGUUAAAGCUCAACACAUCAAAUCUCAAGGAGUGUGUUAAAGUAAUGAGACUUUUCCCUUACUAGAAUUGAAUAAGUUUUAGAUAGAGAACUUGUUAUUGUUAUAGAUUUUUUCUUUUUUUUUCUUCUGUUUAGUUAAUUAAUUUAAAUUUCAAAUAAAUCUAAUGGUAGGUUACAUAGUUUAAGAAUAUCAAAUUGGUCGUGAGCUUAUAGAGAGACAUUUCUUCCAUUUUUAAUCUUUCUAUUUUGGGAGAUUGAAUUAGACUUUGAGACUAAUAUCUAAAAUGAUGUUCUACCUUAGUUUCUAAAUUACAGUUUACAAUUCAAAAAGCUUAUCGGAAGAAACUACAUUUGAGGAGCUCAAGUAUUCAACGGCAAAGCUAAACUGGGUUACUUGACUGGAGACUCUCCUCAAACAGAAAAGACCAACCCUUUGCUUCAUAAAAUGGAUGUCAGAAAACUCUAUCAUCAUUAUUUGGCUGAUAAAUUAAAUGGAGACAACAAUUUAGAAAUCAUAUUUAAACUCCCCUCCAAAGGCUUCCUUCAUGCAUUACUACUGCUAUUCUAUAACAAAGAUUGGUUCACCAUUUUAUUUGCUGAAAAUUUCAAACAUAACCAACACGGUUUUGCAGCAAGUAUUAAUUAAUAAUUUAUCAUCAAACUCAACAUUUACAGUGCCCUUAAUAAAACUUAAACAGAUCAUUGAGCAAUGAGCACAGUAUUUAUUAUGGUAUGCACUAAAUGACUCAUAAGUCAUACAGCAAACUAACCACGGUAGGCUGUUUGAGCAGACCGUUUCUCAUUCUCUGAUACAGAUCUCGACAUUCCUCCUGCAUAACACCAAAUGUUAUAAUUAUGAAUCCAUGGAAAAUAUAUAUACAAACAACUAGGAUCAGAGUAACGCUGUAGUUAGCAGACAUGAUUUCUGUAAAAAAAAUAAAUUUGGCGAUACAGAUCACAUAUUACAAAAAAUAAAUUCUAACAAAUGUAAACUAUGAUCACGUCAAAAAUCUUCUUAUCAUCCUAGGCAGAAAACUGAUACUGUAUAGCCACCAUCCAACACCAAACAAAAAAAAAAAAGGUUAAGAAAACAAGCAUACAAUUCUACUUUGAAAUUUAUUGAAUAAUUGAAAAACUAGGAAUAAGACUAAUCUCUCUUGUGUAACUAUAUUUAUAAUAAAGAAACUUCAGACUAAGCCUAAAAUACAAAUAAUGAUAGAAAAUAAAUAAUAACAUAGAAUAAGAAGAUAGAAGAUAAAAGAUAAGAUAUCUAAGAUAUUCAUGAUAUGUAUAACUCUCCUUAUGGUUGGUGCAUAUAAAUUGUAUAUAUUAAGUUUUUUAUAAAUAUAAUCAAUUCUCAGUCUUAGUAAAAACUUAGUAAAAAUAUUUGUUAACUAAUAAUCACUUGAGUUAACAAACUCAUUCUUGAUGUUUCUAGAUACAAUUUUCUCUCAAAUAAAAUGAUAGUCAAUCUCAAUAUGUUUGGACCUCUCAUGAAGAUAGGAAUAAAACUAAUAUGAAGAGCAGCUAGAUUGUUACAAAUGAGUAUCAUUUGAGUGACAUCCAAAUUGUAACUCUCUAAGCAAUUGUUUAAGCCAAACAAGUUCACAAUGCAAAAGAUCUUGCCACAACACUUUAUUUCUUCCAAGAGACCAAGUUACCACCAAUAAAGACACAAUAUCUGGAAGUAGAUCUUACAUCAAAAGGAAAUCCUACCUGAUCAGGAUAUGAAUAACAAAUAACUCUUUAUGGUUAUUGGAACCAUAUAACAAACCUUUUCCAAUAGAUCCUUUAAUGUACUUUAUUAGACAGAUGACUGCAUUCCAAUGAUCUUCACAUGAAAAAUUGAGAAAAUGGCUCACCACACAAAGGAAAUGUUAGUUUCCUCCAAAAUAUCCAAUGCAUACUUCCUUUCAGAUAUAACAAUACCAUUUUUGGAUUGUGCUACUUCAAUACCCAAGAAAUAUUUAAGUUUGUCAAGAUGGUAAAAGAUUUGUGAAGACAACAUAUCAAUCUAGAAGAUUUUCCCUAAGCAACAAAUCCUGGAAGUUGUUCUAUAUAAAUCUUUUUCUGCAAAUCUUCAUCGAGGAAAGCAUUUUUGACAUAUAGUUGAUAAAAUGAUCAUUAUUGAAGAGCAGUCAUGGCUACAAAAAAAAAUAAAAUCCAUCUUUGCUACUGAAGAAAAAAUAUCACCAUAAUCAAAACCUAAAAUUUGUGUAAGAUUUGGCCACAAGACAAGCUUUGAGGCAAUCAAUAGUAUUCAUCAAAACCAACUUUGAUAAGAAAAGCCCAUCUGCAACCAACAAUAGAUUUACGGUAAUACGACAAACUCUCAAGUUUCAUUAUUUUGAAGAGUACUUAGUUCAUCUAGCAUGACCUAAUACCAACUAGGAUGGGCUAAAACAUCACUGACAGAUUUAGAAACGGACACAAGAAAUAAAUGAAAGAUAGUUAUAAAAAGGUGAAGAUAAUCUAUGGCAACUCAAAGCAAUAUAAUGUGGAGAAGGAUUACGAUAAAAUGUGUACAUUUACGAAGGAUAAUUGGAACAUAUAUUAUGUUAAGAAAUGAACUUUAAGCCUAACUCAAUCUUACAAAUCUGACUUAUGAGUAAAGUUUGCACCUACUUAUAUAUUGUGAAUUGACUUUACCUCUAAUCGAGGUGGAACUUUCAAUACACUCUCUUACGCCGAGAUAUAUACAUCUCAUGCGUGAGACUAGACAUUAAUGAAUGGUCUGAUAACGAGUGAAACAAUAUGUCAUCAAAGAACAAAUCUCACUAGGAUAAGUUCUAACCUAUGACUUUCAUACCAUAUUGAAUACUAGAAAAACUAGGUAUAGGAUUAAUCUUCCUUGUGUAGAAAAGACACAUAGGGUAUUAUAUUCAUAAUAAAAAAAAAUAUGGUCUAAGCACAAAAUACAAAUAAUAAUAGAAAAAAAUAGAAGAUAAAAUAUAAGAUAUCUAAAAUAUUUAAGAUAUCUAACAAAAUUGUUGCUAAGUUCCAGUACCUAUAAGGACGUGAGAAAUUAGAGAAAAAUAUUAUUACCAUAGCAUUCAUACCUCAGAAAAGUCAUCAUCUGAAAUUUUGGAGAUAGGUACACUUUUCGGCACAUUAGAAAGUUGAAGCAUAAUUUCCUUGUUGAUUUCAUCAUUGUUUAAAGAUCUGUUUAUUCCUGUAAUUUUGCAGAUAUAGAUUGUCAACUAUGCAUGUAAGAGAAGAAUGAUAGCUAGUACAACAACAUCAGGCAUGUUGACCUUCCACAGCAAUGUACUGCGCCUAAAAAAAGAACAACGUACAAUAUGCUUAAGAUUUUAUAUUUCAUUUAUAUUUUGUAGAUAUGCGUUUUGAAUCCAAUGUAUAACUCCGGAUCUUUUUCUUCCAAUACAAGAAAAAUAGAAUCAAAAUUAUAUGCAUGGUC